GAUGAAGAACGCAGCGAAAUGCGAUAAGUAAUGUGAAUUCAGAAUUCAGUGAAUCAUCGAAUCUUUGAACGCACAUUGCGCCCGCUAGUAUUCUGGCGGGCAUGCCUGUCCGAGCGUCAUUUCAACCCUCAAGCCCCCGGGCUUGGUGUUGGGGAUCGGCGAGCCUCCGCGCCCGCCGUCCCCUAAAUCUAGUGGCGGUCUCGCUGUAGCUUCCUCUGCGUAGUAGCACACCUCGCACUGGGAAACAGCGCGGCCACGCCGUUAAACCCCCAACUUCUGAACGUUUGACCUCGGAUCAGGUAGGAAUACCCGCUGAACUUAAGCAUAUCAAUAAGCGGAGGA
rnacentral:misc_RNA from 1 species